rfam:Bacillus coagulans 36D1, complete genome.
UUACAUGAUAGAGGCGCAAAACUUAAGAGUAAGGAACGGGAGAAGAUUGGGCUUCCGGGAUCGUUUCUGAAAGGAAGUUUUGCCGAAGUGAAAAUGGCCUCAAUGCCGUUUUUGCUGGUUCUGUACUGAAAAAGUCCGGAACUGUCAGGAUGAAAUGUCUUGGAGCGCUAUCUCACAG